rnacentral:rRNA from 2 species
UAGUUGCAAGGUAUAGACCCGAAACCCGGUGAUCUAGCCAUGGGCAGGUUGAAGGUUGAGUAACAUCAACUGGAGGACCGAACCCACUAACGUUGAAAAGUUAGGGGAUGACCUGUGGCUAGGAGUGAAAGGCUAAUCAAACCGGGAGAUAGCUGGUUCUCCCCGAAAUCUAUUUAGGUAGAGCCUCGGACGAAUACUUACGGGGGUAGAGCACUGUUAAGGCUAGGGGGUCAUCCCGACUUACCAACCCUUUGCAAACUCCGAAUACCGUAAAGUAAUAUCCGGGAGACACACGGCGGGUGCUAACGUCCGUCGUGAAGAGGGAAACAACCCAGACCGCCAGCUAAGGUCCCAAAGUCAUAGUUAAGUGGGAAACGAUGUGGAAAGGCCCAGACAGCCAGGAGGUUGGCUUAGAAGCAGCCAUCCUUUAAAGAAAGCGUAAUAGCUCACUGGUCGAGUCGGUCUGCGCGGAAGAUGUAACGGGGCUAAACUAUGCACCGAAGCUGCGGAUUCAGAAUUUAUUCUGAGUGGUAGGGGAGCGUUCUGUAAGCGGUUGAAGGUGUACCGGGAGGUAUGCUGGACGUAUCAGAAGUGCGAAUGCUGACAUGAGUAACGAUAAUGGGAGUGAAAAACUCCCACGCCGGAAGACCAAGGGUUCCUAUCCCAUGUUAAUCAGGGUAGGGUAAGUCGACCCCUAAGGCGAGGCCGAAAGGCGUAGUCGAUGGGAAACAGAUUAAUAUUUCUGUACUCGAUAUAAUUGCGAUGGGGGGACGGAGCAGGCUAAACAAGCAUGGCGUUGGUAGUCCAUGUGAAAGUGAGUAGGUUGGCGACUUAGGUAAAUCCGGGUUGCUAUUAAGACUGAGACACGAGACGAGUCACUAAGGUGAUGAAGUUGUUGAUGCCAUACUUCCAGGAAAAGCCUCUAAGCUUCAGAUUAUAUGGAAUCGUACCCCAAACCGACACAGGUGGUCAGGUAGAGAAUACUAAGGCGCUUGAGAGAACUCGGGUGAAGGAACUAGGCAAAAUCGUACCGUAACUUCGGGAGAAGGUACGCUCCUAUCUGUGAUGAGACUUGCUCUCUAAGCGGACGGGAGCCGCAGUGACCAGGUGGCUGGGACUGUUUAUUAAAAACACAGCACUGUGCAAAAUCGCAAGAUGACGUAUACGGUGUGACACCUGCCCGGUGCCGGAAGGUUAAUUGAUGGGGUUAUCCUUAGGGAGAAGCUCUUGAUCGAAGCCCCGGUAAACGGCGGCCGUAACUAUAACGGUCCUAAGGUAGCGAAAUUCCUUGUCGGGUAAGUUCCGACCUGCACGAAUGGUGUAACCAUGGCCACGCUGUCUCCACCCGAGACUCAGUGAAAUUGAAAUCGCAGUGAAGAUGCUGUGUACCCGCGGCUAGACGGAAAGACCCCGUGAACCUUUACUACAGCUUGGCACUGAACAUUGAACCUACAUGUGUAGGAUAGGUGGGAGACUUUGAAGCAGCGACGCUAGUUGUUGUGGAGUCGUCCUUGAAAUACCACCCUUGUAGUUUUGAUGUUCUAACGUUGGCCCCUGAAUCGGGGUUACGGACAGUGCCUGGUGGGUAGUUUGACUGGGGCGGUCUCCUCCUAAAGAGUAACGGAGGAGCACGAAGGUUGGCUAAGUACGGUCGGACAUCGUACGGUUAGUGUAAUGGUAGAAGCCAGCUUAACUGCGAGACAGACACGUCGAGCAGGUACGAAAGUAGGUCAUAGUGAUCCGGUGGUUCUGAAUGGAAGGGCCAUCGCUCAACGGAUAAAAGGUACUCCGGGGAUAACAGGCUGAUACCGCCCAAGAGUUCAUAUCGACGGCGGUGUUUGGCACCUCGAUGUCGGCUCAUCACAUCCUGGGGCUGAAGUCGGUCCCAAGGGUAUGGCUGUUCGCCAUUUAAAGUGGUACGCGAGCUGGGUUUAGAACGUCGUGAGACAGUUCGGUCCCUAUCUGCCGUGGGCGUUUGAGAAUUGAGAGGGGUUGCUCCUAGUACGAGAGGACCGGAGUGAACGAACCGCUGGUGUUCGGGUUGUCAUGCCAAUGGCAUUGCCCGGUAGCUACGUUCGGAACUGAUAAGCGCUGAAAGCAUCUAAGCGCGAAGCAGGCCUCGAGAUGAGUUCUCACUAGACUUUUAAAGUCUCUGAAGGGCCGUUGAAGACUACAACGUUGAUAGGCAAGAUGUGGAAGUGGUGUGAGCCAUUAAGCUAACUUGUACUAAUUACCCGUGAGGCUUAACCAU